rnacentral:rRNA from 1 species
CAAACGGGUGCGUAACACGUGAGCAACCUACCGAAAUGUAGGGGAUAGCCGGCCUAACGGCCGAGUAAUACCGCAUACGCUUUCCGAGAGGCAUUUCUUGGAAAGGAAACCUACGGGACAUUUCGAGGGGCUCGCGGCCUAUCAGCUAGUUGGCGAGGUAACGGCUCACCAAGGCAACGACGGGUAGCUGGUCUGAGAGGAUGGCCAGCCACAUUGGGACUGAGAUACGGCACAG